GGCUCUUUGGCGAUGUGGUCAGCGCGUUUGACUCUUACCCGGGAGUAGGGUUCAAUUCCCUGCCUGGGCCC